CGUAGGGUGCAAGCGUUGUCCGGAAUUAUUGGGCGUAAAGAGCUCGUAGGCGGUUUGUCGCGUCUGCUGUGAAAAUUCGGGGCUUAACCCCGGACUUGCAGUGGGUACGGGCAGACUAGAGUGUGGUAGGGGAGACUGGAAUUCCUGGUGUAGCGGUGAAAUGCGCAGAUAUCAGGAGGAACACCGGUGGCGAAGGCGGGUCUCUGGGCCACUACUGACGCUGAGGAGCGAAAGCAUGGGUAGCAAACAGGAUU
rnacentral:rRNA from 1 species